AUGGACGAAAGUCUGACGGAGCAACGCCGCGUGAGUGAAGAAGGUUUUCGGAUCGUAAAACUCUGUUUUCAGGGACGAAUGUGUGGAUUGUAAAUAAUGAUCCAUAAUGACGGUACCUGACAAGAAAGCCACGGCUAACUACGUGCCAGCAGCCGCGGUAAUACGUAGGUGGCAAGCGUUGUCCGGAAUUAUUGGGCGUAAAGCGCGCGCAGGUGGGAUAAUCAGUCUGAUGUUAAAGUUCGGGGCUUAACCCCGUGAAGCAUUGGAUACUGUUAUUCUUGAGUGCAGGAGAGGAAAGUGGAAUUCCUAGUGUAGCGGUGAAAUGCGUAGAUAUUAGGAGGAACACCAGUGGCGAAGGCGACUUUCUGGACUGUGUCUGACACUGAGGCGCGAAAGCCAGGGUAGUGAACGGGAUUAGAUACCCCGGUAAUCCUGGCCGUAAACGAUGGGUACUAGGUGUUGGGGGUAUCGACCCCUCCAGUGCCGGAGUUAACGCAAUAAGUACCCCGCCUGGGGAGUACGGC
rnacentral:rRNA from 1 species